rnacentral:tRNA from 1 species
GGUGAGGUGCGAGAGCGGUUUAAUCGGUCGGUCUUGAAAACCGAAGUAGGGAUUUUUCCUUACCGUGGGUUCGAAUCCCACCCUCACCG